CACAAUGUCAGGAAAGAUAUGAUCUUGGAAAUAUAAUCAACAAAGUGCAUUAUUUGUAAUUGUACCACUAUGCAUAUAAUGAAUUUAGACUAUAGAAAAAGAGUUUACAUGAAGGUUUGAACUUGUAUUGAUUCCAGGUCAUUUUUAUGUAUAAUUAAUGCAUAUGAAAUAAAAGUGUGUGCUUCACAAA